rnacentral:rRNA from 1 species
UCCAGACUCCUACGGGAGGCAGCAGUGGGGAAUCUUCCGCAAUGGGCGAAAGCCUGACGGAGCAACGCCGCGUGAUCGAAUGAAGGCCUUCGGGUUGUAAAGAUCUGUUGACAGGGACGAAUAAGCAAUGCGAAUAGUUUUGUGUAUGACGGUACCUGUUUAGAAAGCUCCGGCUAACUCCGUGCCAGCAGCCGCGGUAAUACGGAGGGUGCGAGCGUUAAUCGGAAUUACUGGGCGUAAAGCGCUCGUAGGCGGUAUGUCAAGUCAAGGGUGAAAUCCCCGCGCUCAACGUGGGAACUGCCUUUGAAACUGGCAAACUGGAGUGUGUGAGAGGAUAGUGGAAUUCCAGGUGUAGGAGUGAAAUCCGUAGAUAUCUGGAGGAACAUCAGUGGCGAAGGCGACUAUCUGGCACAUAACUGACGCUGAGGAGCGAAAGCGUGGGUAGCAAACAGGAUUAGAUACCCGCGUA